CGAACGACUCUAAAGGGAAUGCAGUAGAAAUGUUCUGUGUAAUUUUACAAGUUUCCCGAUGUAUGUCGAGUUGUUACCGUUUAGUUCGCUUUGAUUAACUAUGCUAUCAGUUUUCUUUCUGUGUUGUAUAUCCAUUCAGAACCAUUAGUUUCUCUGUUUAGUAUACGACUUGCCCGAAUGGUCAUGCCAACAUCUGGACACGUUUGACGACAUUGAAGAGAAGACCAAAGCGUCUGUUGCAAUCAACGAAUAGUAGGAUGCGAAUACGCAUAAGAAACGGCGGAAACUAUUUCGUGACGAGAGUUCGACACCAGAUGCAAAUUUGGAAUGGCAUUGAGGCGUCUUUUGUUGACGGGCUCGUUCAUUCAAAACCAUCUUAGAAGCGGACCAAGACACAACCAUCACCCACAUAAGUGAACUGUUGAAGUUAGAUGGCGGUAAAUUAUAGACAACUUUGCGAUCGCUUUACGAAUAAUUCCAGUUGAUAACUGUCAAGGAAGUCAUUUUCAACAUAAUCACGCGUGAAAAACUAUCUACGGAACACCAUGAUUCAGGAAAGGUUGACAGCAUUGGGCUACUGUCUACUGAAUGUCAAGUCCUCCGAGAACUAGACGUCACACAGCUGUCGUAAAAGAAACUUAUAGGCUUAAAUCUGUUACAUGUAACAUGCAUUUUAAGUCAGUUAAUAAAAUAGUUUUACAUU